rnacentral:sRNA from 1 species
UGACUAGUUGAGGUGACUCGCUAUCGGA